rnacentral:rRNA from 1 species
CCUACGGGUGGCAGCAGUGAGGAAUAUUGGUCAAUGGACGCAAGUCUGAACCAGCCAUGCCGCGUGCAGGAAGACGGCUCUAUGAGUUGUAAACUGCUUUUGUACGAGGGUAAACGCAGAUACGCGUAUCUGUCUGAAAGUAUCGUACGAAUAAGGAUCGGCUAACUCCGUGCCAGCAGCCGCGGUAAUACGGAGGGUUCAAGCGUUAUCCGGAUUUAUUGGGUUUAAAGGGUGCGUAGGCGGUCGGAUAAGUUAGAGGGGAAAUCCCGAGGCGCAACUUCGGAAUUGCCUCUGAUACUGUCCGGCUAGAGAGUAGUUGCGGUAGGCGGAAUGUAUGGUGUAGCGGUGAAAUGCUUAGAGAUCAUACAGAACACCGAUUGCGAAGGCAGCUUACCAAGCUACUUCUGACGUUGAGGCACGAAAGCGUGGGGAGCAAACAGGAUUAGAUACCCCUGUAGUC